CAUGUCUUUUUGAUUUUAAUUUAAAGUUUAAUCUGCUCGAUGAUUAAUUAAAUUGCCGCAGUAUUUUGACUGUGCUAAGGUAGCAUAAUCAUUAGUUUUUUAAUUGAAAACUGGAAUGAAUGAUUGGACAAGAUGAUUUCUGUCUCUUUUUAAAGUUGGUUUUAAUUUUAUUUUUAAGUUAAAAAGCUUAAAUAUAAUUAAAAGACGAGAAGACCCUAUAGAGUUUAACAUUUAUUUAUUUUUUAGUAAUUAAUAUAUUUUGUUUAUUUGGGGUGAUUUGAAGAUUAAAUAAAUUCUUUAAAUGUUAUAUUGAUGAUAUUUAAUUUUAAAUAUUAAAUAUUUUAAAUUUAAUAAAAAUUACCUUAGGGAUAACAGCGUAAUUUUUCUUUAAAGUUCUUAUUGUAAGAAGAGUUUGCGACCUCGAUGUUGGAUUAAAAUUUAUUAUUGGCGCAGUAGCUUUUAUAUUGAGUCUGUUCGACUUUUAAAAUUUUACAUGAUCUGAGU
rnacentral:rRNA from 1 species